rnacentral:rRNA from 1 species
UUUAAUGAGAGUUUGAUCCUGGCUCAGGACGAACGCUGGCGGCGUGCCUAAUACAUGCAAGUAGAACGCUGAUGUUUGGUGUUUACACUAGACUGAUGAGUUGCGAACGGGUGAGUAACGCGUAGGUAACCUGCCUCAUAGCGGGGGAUAACUAUUGGAAACGAUAGCUAAUACCGCAUAAGAGUGAUUAACACAUGUUAGUUAUUUAAAAGGAGCAAUUGCUUCACUGUGAGAUGGACCUGCGUUGUAUUAGCUAGUUGGUGAGGUAAAGGCUCACCAAGGCGACGAUACAUAGCCGACCUGAGAGGGUGAUCGGCCACACUGGGACUGAGACACGGCCCAGACUCCUACGGGAGGCAGCAGUAGGGAAUCUUCGGCAAUGGA